rnacentral:rRNA from 1 species
AGUGGGGAAUAUUGCACAAUGGGGGAAACCCUGAUGCAGCAACGCCGCGUGAGCGACGAAGGCCUUCGGGUCGUAAAGCUCUGUCUUCGCUGACGAAUAAAUGACGGUAAGCGAGGAGGAAGCCACGGCUAACUACGUGCCAGCAGCCGCGGUAAUACGUAGGUGGCAAGCGUUGUCCGGAAUUAUUGGGCGUAAAGGGUGCGUAGGCGGUUUUUUAAGUGGGAUGUGAAAUACCUAGGCUUAACUUAGGAAUGGCAUUCCAAACUGGAAGACUAGAGUGCAGGAGAGGAAAGUGGAAUUCCCAGUGUAGCGGUGAAAUGCGUAGAGAUUGGGAGGAACACCAGUGGCGAAGGCGACUUUCUGGACUGUAACUGACGCUGAGGCACGAAAGCGUGGGGAGCAAACAGGAUUAGAUACCCUGGUAGUCCACGCUGUAAACGAUGAGUACUAGGUGUGGGGGGCGAAGCCCUCUGUGCCGCAGUUAACACAAUAAGUACUCCGC